CUGUGUGCAGCAGACGCGCAGGGACGUGGGAUUGGGGCUGCUGCUCUCCUCUGACUGAAGCUCAGGAACACGUGACUUUCUUCAGGGAGUGUCUCCCCCUUUCUCUCUGCUGCAUGGUGGGAACUCCUGACCUGUAGUCUGCAGGUGGAAUUUGUACCUGUGACAUCCUAGAAGCCACCUGGAUUAUCACACAUGGUGGUGGAAAAUACCCAGCAGCAAGGAAGGGCAAGCUCCAACAGCAGGCUCACCUGGUGUCUGUUGCAUUAUGUUUGGGAACAUGCUCUUGGCAAAGCAAAUCUCAUGGCCGUGCUCAGCCUCAACGUGUGUGUUGCAGGGGAAGGAGAGGGGCUUGGCCAGUAAUGAGAUUCGGAGAUCUCAUAGUUAUCCAACAGGCAAGGGGACAGGAAGGGGUGAGUCAUGGGGAUCAUUGUUACAGCAGUUUGCCUCAGGGUCAUUAAAAUCUUAACUGGAGUUAGCACCUCGAUCAACCGAAAAUUACAGGACGAACGGACACUGAGUCUGACUCCCUUGAAGGUUAUAAACCUCGGUCAUCUAAGAGCUCGGGAGAGUCCACCGGGACCGUUUGCCAGGUGGGCAGCUGCUCUGAAUUCUCCAGGCAAAAGCCGGCUGCCAUUCAGACAGAUUCUAAAAACAUGUCUGUCUCAGCUCGGUGGGUUGGUCUUACCAAGGGCCCCUGUGGACGGCCUGCCUUGGAGCAGCGAGAGACGGGUUCAUGGAGGCAGACUGCCUGUGCCUCCGCUCCGAUCUCAUGCCGCAGGCAAGGACUCUCGGGGCCUGGUGAGCAGCUGGGGGAAAGACGAAGCCCUCCAGUACUUGGACCGCUCCGCCUGCAGGACGUCACUGACCGCUGCGUCCUGGGCCAGCUCUGGAGAGGGCUCCUUUGUCAUCGCCAUCCGUCUUCCAGAAGAGCUUUGAAUCCCACUUCGCUGAGGAAACAGUAAUGUGGCGGCUUCUUGUGGACGCGGGCAAGAGGAGGAAGAAAUGCACGUAGCCUGUGGAGCUGCCGAUAGCUGCAUUUCCCCAGACCACAGAAGCGGCUAGCCCUGGUGAACAAGUGCGCGCUGGAGGCAGAGCAGCAAGGCAGGAAGACAGCAGGUGCAGGUCACAGCAGAGGUGCUGAGUUGGCUUUCCCUGAAGCAACCUUGCAGGUGAAACUACGCUUUGGAUAGACUGUGCAUUCCUAGAUCCGUGGUUAAUAUGUAGGAGGUGGCAUUUGGAGACCCAGUCACGGCCUCAUCACACUGCAACUUUUUACAUCUGUCCUCUGACCUUCUGAAGCUCACAAAGCAGGAUCAGAAGUCCUGGUGUUGGAUUCAGCCGGGCUUGAUGUGAUCCAGGCAGGGACAGAGGGAUAAGAUCCCAUGUGUAGGACAACUUCUCAUUCAUUGAAAAUCUAUCCUGAGGGGGAUGGACUGGGAGUGGAAGCCGAGUGUCUGGGCACGAAUGGGAAAUGCUGCUCGCCGAUGCCCUGCCCCGGUCCUCGUCAUCGUUAUUAAUAACACCACCGGGACCUCCUGGAGCUGGUGAGGGAACGGGGACUUCUGCUCUGGCACCUGCUAGCUGCCAGCGCCCAGGCCCGUCACUCCGCCACCCUGAGACUUGGCUCUGCAGCCUGAGGAUGACGUAAUGUGGAUUUCCCAGCAUUGUAACUCGACCAAUAAUCACGUAUACAGAGUGCUGGGCUCAGAAUCAGCCCUCAAUAGAAAGUGUGAACAACUGGAGACUGAAAAGGUUCCGUGAACACGUGACAUCAGCAUCUUUUCUUUGGCCAGGAGAUUUGAUAUAAAUGCUAUAACUGAGUGUGUAGAUGGUGGCUCCUGGGAGGAACUGGCUUCUUCAUCAAGAAUAUAAUUCUGGGGCUGGAAUUGUGGAAUAGUAGCUGAAGGCACUGCCUGGGAUGCCAGCAUCCCAUAUGGGCUCUGGUUCGAAUUCCAGUUGCUCCACAUCCAAUCCAGCUCCCUGUUUAACGGCCUGGGGAAGCAGUAGAAGAUGGCUCAAGUCCCUGGGCUCCUGUACCCACGUGGGAGGCCUGGAAGAAUUUCUGGCCAUGUCUUUGUACCAGCCUAACUCAGGUACUUGUGGCCAUUGGGGAAUGAACCAGCAGAUGGAAGACCUGUCCAUCUGUCUCUUCCUCUAUUUCUCUCUCUCUCUGUACACUCUGACUUUCAAAUACAUAAAUAAUUCUUUUUGUAAAAAAAAAUUCAUUCUGCACUAGGACUUAAUAAGUUCAAGUGUAUUUCCUGUGCACUUGCCUAGUUAAAUCCUGGACAUAAACAUUGUUUUGAUGAAAAACAAAAAGAGCAACGUUCCUUGCCCUCUUUGGAGUUGGGAGGACUCUAUCCCCUACGUGGACUGGAAAACUGGAGACCCCCAGCCACCUGUUGCGUGACUUACACUGCAGGUGGCUGGCAGGAAACAGCCGAGCUCAGAAGGCCCACAGCGGUGGUGGCUUGGAGCAGACUCACAGGAAUACAAGAGGGUUGACGUUCGGUGGCUCCGAGGAAGCGGGCCCUGGGACUGGCAUGCCCGGUUGCAAUCUCUCACCCUCUGCAGGAGCAGAGGCCGUCUCAUCGCUGCAGGAGGGACGUGGUGAUGAUGCCCAUGGGCUUCCCGGGCCUGCAGUGGCCUUGUGGGGGAGUAGCAGGAGGGAGGGACGGCAGGCAGGACAGCAGCAGAGUGAUGCUGACCAUGGCGCAGCCCUCAGGCUGCCGACCUUGGUCCUGGGCCAGCAGAAGGCACGGGCAUGGGUACCCAGCAAGGAGCACACAGGGAGAGGCGGAGGGUCUUCGUGGGGUUUCACUAAGCAGCCAUCAGGGGCUGGUUGUCAGCUGACAGAGCAGGUGACCCCACUGCCGCGUACUGCAGGCGAGGCCGGGAGGGUGCUGAGAGACAGGGGAGAGGACGGGGCUGGCCUGGGCAAGGCCCACUCAUCCUCUGUGUCAGGAGGACUUGCAUUUCUUUUGCUCCAUGACUUCUGUUCCCACACAGGACCCCUCACGACCCUCUUACUGCUCCUGGGCAGGUACAAGAGUCUGAACCCCUCGGAGGGCCAAACAGAAGGCCUGGUCAAGCAGAGAUGGCCAGUAGGCCAAAAGCACUGAGGGACCACAAGAUCCCGGGGUGGGGAGGCCUGGGGGUGACUCCUAAGGGAGUUGGGGCAGGAAGUCUGGAACACAGGGCUCACUGCUAUUGCCAAGGUGUCCCACGGAGGAGUCAGGCAUCAACAGCUUGGUGCAGACACCAGGCACAAACCCAGUGAUGGCCGGGAUUUUUCAUAGUGGGCGAACGGGGACUUGCCUGGCAGGCUGUAGGGAGUCUGAGGCUCCAGCGAGGGGGUGGGGGAGGGGACUUUGGAGGUCGGGGAGAACCCAGAGGGCUUUCCUUUCACCAGAGAUCAAGAAACACUUUCCUCCCCGAGUCGUCCAGUGUGUCUGCUGGAAUCUUUCUAAAACGAGCAGACAACUGUGAAAAUAAUGUUAUGAUGCACGGGAAUCAUUUAGAACACCAGGCAGAGCAAGACACAGAACUGGGGGGCAUAGGUCAGCUGCCGUCUGCCAAAACAAGGUGUCGCGUUCUCACAACGCCAGCCUCACAAAUGGGUCCUCGGGGAUAUCUCUCGACUGCUUGAACCAAGCUAGCGACUCACAUGGCGAAAGCCACCUUUACUUAAAUUUGGUCAUUGUGAAUCCAAAGAAUUUCAUUAGAGAUCUAUUUUUCUCUCCUUUUAAAUUUGAUAUAACAAAGCUUAACCAUUGUAUAGCAGUUUGUAUAAUACAGUUUGUGUAGCAGUUCGUGUAUUAGAGUACACUUGUGUUUUUAAAUGCAUGAACAUAUAGGGAUAAUCCGGUGGCUACUCGUGACGGAGCUUUUGUGGAGCCGUUACCUGGGUCGAAAGAGAGUUCCCUGCCAGGUCGGAGCAGCCUCUGGUUGCACCUGGUUGAUUGCAGUAAUUUUAUUCUCUUCAAAGUUAGUCACUCUCCUUAAUUUACUUGCUGUCUUUGAAGUUUUGUUACCUACAUAUGCAAUUUUAGAUGUUGGGAUUCAAUUUUGCACUUUUAGAAAGUUUUUUUUUUUUUUUAAUUAAAAAAAUACCAAGCCAAGAGAAAAGAAAAAUUGCAAGUGCCAUUAAGUGGAAAGAACAUUUCUGGCUCAAUUAAAUACAUUUUAAUAUGGACUGAGUAUUAAGGGAACUUUAAAUUAAGUGGUUCAGUGAUAGAAAAGUUAAGUCAUAUAAGGAAAUUCCAAUUUCUUAAGUGCGGUUACACUAUUUUAGCUAAGUAGGGAAAGAGUUUUAAUUUUUAGAGAUGCAUACUAAGGUGUUUUUUUAAUUAUUAAAGAUUGAUUAAUUUAUUUGAAAGGCACCAUGACACAGAGAGAGAGGGAGAAACAGACAGAAAUUUUCCACCUCCUGGUUCAUUUCCCAAAAGUAGCCGGGCUGAACCAGGCUGAAGCCAGGAGCCUAGAACUCCAUCUGGGUCUCCCAUGUGGGCGGCAGGGCCCAAGCUCCCGGGCCGUUUUCUGCUGUCUUCCAUGCGCAUUAGCAGAUUUCAGGAAGGUGGAAUAGAGGUGGAGUGGCUGGGCUUGAGCUGGCACGUAGAUUUCGGGCGCCAGCUUUGCACACAGCCGCUUAACCUGCUGUGCCCCAACACUGGCUCCUUCUAAAGCUUUCUGCAGUGAAGUGUCACGAUGUCAUUCACUUACUUUACAAUAUUCCGGCAUAAAUGAAGUCAGUCUGAGGAAUCGACACUGGGGCAGGUGUUUGAGCCGUUAAGAUGCUGCUCAGGAUGCCCACAUCCCAUUUCAGAGGCAAGAGUUUGAGUCCCGGUUCCACUCCUAGUUCACAGCUGCUGUAAGGUGCUGUGUCCAGUAUCCAGAAUGCCUGGCUCCGGGCAGCAAGUGGGAAAUGGAGAAUAGCGCCUUGUGCUGUCUGCUCUAGUAACAAUGCCCUUGAUUUCUAUUUGCUUCCAGGGCCCAGGCCUGGUGAGUGUGGGGGCCCUGGUGCCCGAGGAAGGAACACUUCCUCAGGAAGACGUAGCCGGCGUUCCAAUUCCGGGCUCUUCACGCUGACCAGCAGGCCUCGCGUUGGGUCAUUGCACUUGUGUGGCCAUUCCCAGAGGGGAAUUUCUGCUGUAGGGUAGGUGGCAGAACGACUUUGCAAUGCAAAAGAGCAAGGGGGGUGCCCCUGAACACUUUGUGCCCAGUAGGACAGGUCAAGGGAAAGCUUGGGCAGCCCAGUGUGGGCACCACCAUGAAGCACAGAGCUUCAACAGGAAGGGGGUUGGAGGUCACGUCUCCCUGUGGGGGACGUCAUGCAGCCAAGGUGCUGGCAGAAGCCAUGAAACACCAGGAAUGAGAGACGAGAAAGGGCAGGCAAAGAGCUCAGUCUAGGUACUGGCCCUGAGUGUGGAGGCUGCGGCUGUGACCACUUCCUCUCUGUGCCCGCCCUCUCGUUUUCUACACAGAGAGCUGGAAAUGCUACUUUAGGUUUCAGGUAGGAGAAUGAGUGAAUUAACCGACUGUGUACUGAUACAGAGGCUGUGGACCUCUGUGGGCCUUGUGUGGGGCACAGAGCUGCCCUGUUUGUACAAUAAGAAGGGACAGGAGGUGAGGGUGGCCUCUGCAGUGGCUUUAGAGCCCCUCCCAUCCAUCUCCACUCUUCCCCCGGGAGGCUGCCCCUGUGGACUACCCACACCAACCAUCCAAACCUCCAGGGUUAAUGCAGAGCCCGCUGGAGACCGAUGGCACGGAGGAGAAGUGAGUUCCUGUGGGAGGGAGCCCUGGGCCACGUCUCACAGUGGUCAUUCUGCUCGCUGGCUCCUAUGGGUGCCGGCGAUCUCUCCCCUCACGAGGGACCUGGCUUGGGAAUGGUGCCAUUGUUACUCAGGCCAGGCCGCAACAUCACCUCCAGGGUUCUCUACACCCCACCCUUGCCUUACAAACGACCUUUCUGUGAGCCUCCACGGAAGAUCCUAGUCUUUGCCGUUGUGCCUCGGGGCAUCCUGACAUCCUGUGCCUGACGUUAGAGCAGGUGAGUAGAUCAGGACGGUGCAGUAGAGCGGGAAGACUUGCCGAGUCAUAAGGAGAGAAGGGGUUAAGUCGGUGAGAGGGGUGGUGUGGCUCCAGGGCGGAGCUGGGAAGACCCACCCAGCGCGACUGGAGAGGGGCAGAGGAGGUGAUAGAGGGCAGUUUCGGUGAUGGCAGGACACGGAAGUUGUUUUGCUUCUGGUUUCCCAGGGACUGAGAGAGGGAAAUUUGUUAGCAAGGACGGGACAUAGAAGCGCCUGUAAAGGGAAGAACAGCAGCCUUGACGGACGUCAUGAGAAUUCUGAAUGUUGCGGUUUGAAUCCAUCCCUUCUACAGUGCAGGUGUUUCCGACGUGACGGUGCUGAGGGCUGGGCCUUUUAGGGGUGGCUGGGCCGGGGGCCUCUCCUUCGUGUGUUAGGGUCUUCAACCACAACCGAGAACGGCAACCGAGGCCACGCUGCGAGUGUUAUUAGGGCAAGAACGGCCAGGAGCAGCCUCAGAGCGGGAGGAGAUGGGGGCUCGUGUGUAGGGCUGGGCUUUACGGGAACUUUCAUCAGGGAGCAGGGAGACAGGUGGGAGAUGAGGUGGAGCAGCGGGACAAAGGGAUGUGGGGUGUGGCUGGAGCAGCUGGGGAGGAUCCCAGAUGUGGUGAGACGGGGUCCCUGACACAGAGCCUCCAGGGCUGCCUGAUUCAUAGCCGGGCAGUGAUAGGGACCGGGAGGCCCAGGAUAUCUCCCUGAUUAGCAGCUGAGACAACCUGUGGGAAGGGUGAGGCUCUGCAGGUGCAUGGCCCCUCUGUGCUUUUGUUUUCCUGUCGCCAGGAAAGGGGGGGGCGGGGCGGGGUUUCAGACCCAAGCGGAUUCAGGGCUCUCACAAUGUGGAUGGGAUGAAAGCUCUGAUAAGAGUUGGUCCAGAGUUUGCCCCUUCUGCCUUCUGCCAUGGGAGACACCACGUCUUGGAAGCAGGCUCUGAAUCUACCGGUAACUCGGUCUUGGACCUCAGCGUCUACACUGCGAGAAAAGACUGCUCCCUUUUAUAAACCACAUAGCUCAGUGUGCGGUGGCACAGCACAGGUGGAGCAAGAGGCUGUGCGUCGAAAGACACUGGAAGAGGGGAAAAGAUAGGGGUUGGACUGGGAGAAGGACCCUAAAACACCCUCAGAUUCCUGGAAGUACACCUGGGUGUGAAGAGCUACCAACAAAUGCACAGAUGGGCGGAUGUGUGAACCAGGACUUGACAAAGUCUCCGAAGGGCUAAAAAUAUGUGGAGAAGUGCUCAGUAUCAUCAUUCAUCAGAGAAACACACACCAACGGCACGGGAAAUACCACCACCCUCAAAUAAUAAUGGGCAGAAUUCAGCAGACGGACGUAGCACGCUGAUGAGCAGUUUCGUCCCCUGCGUGUCACAGAGGGGUGGAGGCCAGGGAGCGGAGGGCAGGCACCAAGAAGCAGCCGUGCCGACCUCGUGGCGUCCGGGUGAGGAUGCUGGAAAGGGAGUGUGCACACGGAGGCUGGGAAGUGGUGUCAGGAUCAGUGGGGGAACCACGUGGGCGUCUCGCUCAGCGCUUGCAUUGGGAAUGCAAGGUGCUUGCGUUUCCGUUGCACCCCAGAGAGAUGGAGACACGGAUCCCCGAGUUUGGCAUGUGAAGGAGGUGCUGUCCCCCUGAGUCGAGGCAUCCACUCCCGCUCGGUUGCUCAGCGUGAACACGGGCUGGACCUUCCUGAGCCAUCUCUCCUUGGUGUAAGUGGGGAGUGUCGCUCGCAGCUGUGCAGUGGGUUCCUCUCCUGGUGAAGGUAUGACAAGCUAAUGGGAGGUGACUUCUGAAACAGCAAAAUUGUCUUCAGUUCUCAUUCCCUAUCAACAUAAACAUUCACCUGGUGCCAAGGAGUGAAUGAAUAAUUUAUAUCAUAAUGAAAGAGCGACUUUCAUUAUUGUUCUGAAGAGAGCCUUGUGGUUGUUAGACAAGCUGCCAGGCUAACAUAUUGGCUUUUAAAUUAUUUCUCCCAUUCAGCCAGGAAAAUGGUUUUAUGUGGUUUUUUUCUUCCCUGAAUACAAUAAAGAAUGAAAGAUGGGCAACGUGGCUCACGAAUACGUAAUGAACACUGGAAGAGAUGAGCCUGGUAGCACCUUAAAGAGAAAGCCAGCUGUCGACUGUCCCCUCACUACUUUCCCGCUCAGGAACGUGCCAUUGCUGUGAGCGUGGAGCAACCACAGGGACUGGCGCCCUCUAGGAAAACGUGGUGUCCUGGUGUUCUGCAGGGCCGGUGCCAUGGUGUUCUCCUCAGGUGUCACCUGUGCAGGGCAGGCACCCCUGGCUCCCCUGUUUUCCUUGUUUUCUACUUCCUUUAAUUAUUUUACUUUAUCCUGAAAACAACCUGUGUCGUAUUUAUUUAUGCAUGCGGCGGACUCUCAUUUUCUGAAAGACCUGCUUAGACAGAUCCCACACUAUUUCCUUCUCAAUGUCCUGAUGUGUCGCUUCUUUGACUAUUAAUCUGUUAGGAUUGAAAAUCAACCCAUUAUAACUGUUUUAUUUCCAAUGUCACAUUGUCUACUGUUUGCUCAAUUGCAAUGUAAAAUCCUUGAGGUUCAGCGCGUUGUCUUGAUACAUCUCCCAGGGGGCACAUCAUGAUGCCUGUUUUCAGUGUCUUUGUUUAAUAGAGAGAUGGCAGGAGAGGAGAUGGAGAGGUGGGUAGAGGGGUGGGUGAGUGUUGGGUAGAUGGACGGACGGUUGACUGGAUCUGUGGACAGCUACGUACCUAGUCUGAUGAAUGAGUGGGAGGAAGACAAAGUAUUAUUAAAUCAGGCCAUAUACAUUUUUUGCUUUUAUGUAUAGUAAACCAGAUAAUUUUCUGAUAAGUUAAUAUUCUGAAUCCAGUUAGUAAGAGCUAAACUGGGGAAGGCUAAGUCAAAAAAUGCUAAAUAUUUUAGUAUGGCAGCUAUUUCCAAUUACCUGCAUCUUUGGUAUCCAAAUGACUUUAUCUUCUGGGUUUGCUAUCAAAAUGAUUAGUUCAGUCAAACUCUCAUGUCUUAGAACAGCAAGCCCCUGCCCACGCGCAAUGCACAGAAAUUCUCUCAGGAGCUCAGUUUGUUCCAUAUACUUUAGAAGAAAUGGGAUCAGCAGUAGCCAUUGUAUUUUAUAAAAUUUUAUUGCUUUUUAUUAUUAAAGGAAUGUAUGACCAUGAAAUAAGCUUUAAAUGGCAUAAAAUGUUAAAGGAGAAAGUAUUCAUAAUCUAAACCUCCUCCAACACUGAAAAAGAAGUGCUGUAAGGGCUCCAAGUGCAUGCGCAACACAAGCAAAAAUACACAGAUUGGAUCGCAUGGAACCUAAGUUUCAGAACAGCAAAGAAGACCACCAACAGAACAAACCGACAGCCUAUGGAAUGAGAGAUCUUGGCGGACCAUUCACAGCCUGAGGGAUUAAUACACUAAGCAACCUAGUAGCAAGAAAAUGAAUAACAGAUUUAAAAAUGAGCAAAGACUGAAACAAGAAAUUUCUCCAAAGAUGCAAAUGGUCAGCAAUAAUGUGGAAAAAGAUACCCAACAUCACUGGUCAUCUGGAAAAUGCUAAUUAAAACCAUAAUGGGCUGUCACCUCACACCUGUUAGAAUGGCUGUUACAUAAAAAACAGUGAUGUUGGAGGAUGUGAAGAACAGGGAGGCAUUGUUACAGUGUAGAUAGCAUACUCACUGUGGAAGAUGGUGUGAAGUUUGUGCAGAAAAUCAAAGCUAGAACUACCACGUGACCCAGCCUUCCCACUUCAAAGGAAAUGAGACCAGUAUGUUGGAGAGGUGGCCAUGCUUACGUGUUCAUCACAGCACUGUUCAUAGGAGCCCCGAUAUGAACCAAGCUAAGUGACAGUCGCCAGAUGAAUGAAUAGGAAAACGUGAGAUACACACACGCACACUCACACACUCACAGCCACACACACACCCACAUACUCACAGCCACACACACACUGACACACACAUGCACACUCACACACAGCCACACACACACUCACACCCACACACAGCCACACCCACACACAGCCACACUCACACUCACACUCACACACAGCCACACACACACUGACACACACACAUGCACACUCACACACUCACACUGACACACACAUGCACACUCACAGCCACACUCACACACACACACAGCCACACACACACUGACACACACAUGCACACUCACAGCCACACUCACACUCACACUCACUCACUCACUCAGAUACCAGUCGGCCUUUAAGAAGAAGUAAUGCUGUCAUUCGCAUCAGUGUGGAGGAACCUGGAGCACAUUGUGCUACGGGGGAUGAGCCAGGCACAGACAGAUGCGCACUGCAGGGUAUCGCUUUUAAGUGGGAUCUAAAGAGGGGGGUGAACAGCAGCAGAGAGUGGUGGUUACCAAGGCUGAGGUGGCUGGGAGUUGGGGAGCUGUAUUCAGGGGUACAAAGUUAAUGUAUUGUAACAUGUGCCUUAAAAUUGCUGCGAGAGUGGAUCUCAGAUGUUCUCACCACACACAAAAAAGACAAAUAUGUGAGGCGAUGGAUAUGAUAAGCAGGUGCGUUGAAUCAUUUCACAGUGCGCGUAUAUAAGUACAUAUACACGUAUGUUGUGUACCAUACACAUAUACAUCUUUAUAAAUUUUACCUUCAUAAAGCUGGGAGGAAAACGGUACCACAGACCGUAAGAAAAAUAUUUACAACUCUGAUAAAGGACUUGUAUCCAGAAUAUUACAAAGAACUCUUAAAAUCAAUACAAAAAUGCCCCGAAAAAUGGGCAAAAUCAGAAGAGCAGCUUCACCAGAGAAGCUCCAUGGCUGGUGCACAAGCACAUGUCAUCGUCGACGGCAGCAGGAGCCACCUACGGAUUGCAGUGGCCGUGGUGGGAAUGACGGCCCAGGCGACACUGAGGAUGUGGACUGAGGGCAUCAGUCACGUACAUCUGGAGGGCAAAUAAAUUCCCUAGCGAGGGCGAACCCUCCCGGCAGCCCCACCUGCUGCACACUUUCUGCCUGCCAGAACUGGUGCCAGCCAAAAACAACCAAUGUGGCUGCCAACUACACCCCUGCAGUGGCCUUCAGUGACUUAUAAGAGCAUUUCAGUAAAAUUGCCGUGGCUGACACUCCUACUCCCAUCAUGCACCUGUUGCCAUGAUACUUCCCAGAUUUCUAAAAAAAGGGCAAGCAAAUGGUUGGUACUCAGAUCCUGCCCCUUAUGAAUAUUCAGUUUGACCCCACCCUAGAGCCCACCCCUCAUGCCUCCAGAUGACAUAAAGUGGUGACCCUGACCCUCACUGGGUGCAGCUCACUCUUGAGCAUGCCCGUAUUUUCUUGGAAGUGUCCACUUUUGCUUUGUAAGCAAAUGGAUCUUAGUCUUCUGCUAGCCUUUACCUAUGGCUCGUCUGAAUUCUUUCCUGCGUUCCAGACAAGAACCUGGACCCAGCCAUCCAGUGACACCUGGACUCAGUAGCCACAGGGUUGCACUAGUUUACAGUGUACAAAUGCAUCAAACUGUGCACUUCACAUGUGUGCAGUGCGUUGUACGUUGCACUUCAGUAAAGGUGUUCAAGCAGAACUGUGAAAGAGGUGAUUACAGUUCAUGUAUGGUUCCCCACCCGAGCAGAAUUCCUCCUGGUCUCUGGUCCCACGUUGAAGGGCAGGUUGGGGCAGGAGUCAGCCCUCAGCUGCAGGGGUCAGAGCAGGGCCA